rnacentral:rRNA from 1 species
UACGUAGGGGCCAAGCGUUGUCCGGAUUUAUUGGGCGUAAAGAGCUCGUAGGCGGUUGGGUAAGUCGGGUGUGAAAACUCCAGGCUCAACUUGGAGAUGCCACCCGAUACUGCUCUGACUUGAGUUCGGUAGGGGAGUGGGGAAUUCCUGGUGUAGCGGUGAAAUGCGCAGAUAUCAGGAGGAACACCGGUGGCGAAGGCGCCACUCUGGGCCGAAACUGACGCUGAGGAGCGAAAGCGUGGGGAGCAAACAGG